GACGAACGCUGGCGGCGUGCUUAACACAUGCAAGUCGAACGGAAAGGCCCUGCUUUUGUGGUGUGCUCGAGUGGCGAACGGGUGAGUAACACGUGAGUAACCUGCCCUUGACUUUGGGAUAACUUCAGGAAACUGGGGCUAAUACCGGAUAGGAGCUCCUGCUGCAUGGUGGGGGUUGGAAAGUUUCGGCGGUUGGGGAUGGACUCGCGGCUUAUCAGCUUGUUGGUGGGGUAGUGGCUUACCAAGGCUUUGACGGGUAGCCGGCCUGAGAGGGUGACCGGCCACAUUGGGACUGAGAUACGGCCCAGACUCCAACGGGAGGCAGCAGUGGGAAAUAUUGCACAAUGGGCGGAAGCCUGAUGCAGCAACGCCGCGUGCGGAAUGACGGCCUUCGGGUUGUAAACCGCUUUCGCCUGUGACGAAGCGUGAGUGACGGUAAUGGGUAAAGAAGCACCGGCUAACUACGUG
rnacentral:rRNA from 1 species